AAGUCAGUGAUGUUGGCAGAGCAUGGAUUAUCCUAUGCUGUAGUUUCUAUCAUGGGUCCACAAAGUAGUGGGAAGAGCACUCUAUUAAACCAUUUAUUUGACACCAACUUCCGAGAGAUGGAUGCUUUCAGGGGAAGGCAAGUUCUUGAAUUCUUGUAUAUAUAUAUUAUCAAUUAUAGUGCUACUGAUAUAUGAGUUAUUUUAGAUCACAAACCACAAAAGGCAUUUGGUUAGCAAAUUGUGUUGGGAUUGAACCAUGUAUAAUUGUUAUAGGCUUAGAAGGUACUGAUGGACGAGAACGAGGAGAGAACAAGGGUGAGCAUUUGCCUCUAUGAUAUAGGUGGUGCCAUGAUAUUGGUCGAGAACAAGUGGCAAACAAGCCUCUUUUAAAGACAGUCUUCCAGGUGAUGCUGAGACUGUUUAGUCCUCGUAAGACCACUCUACUAUUUGUUAUACGAGA